AUUCUGCCCAUGCGGGGAAGGAUGAGAAGCUUCGACUAAGGUUCGACUCGAGCGCCAGCGAGAGAGCGUUGCCGCAGGCAAUGACCCGUAGGGCGAAGCGCGCAGCGCUGAGUAAUCCUUCCCCCACCACCA
rnacentral:sRNA from 1 species